CCUACGGGAGGCAGCAGUGAGGAAUAUUGGUCAAUGGAGGGAAGUCUGAACCAGCCAUGCCGCGUGAAGGAAGAAGGCUCUAUGAGUUGUAAAUUGUAUUUGUACAAAGGUAAACCUGAAUACGUGUAUUCAGCUGAAAGUACUGUACGAAUAAGGAUCGGCUAACGCCGUGCCAGCAGCCGCGGUAAUACGGAGGGUCCAAGCGUUAUCCGGAUUUAUUGGGUUUAAAGGGUGCGUAGGCGGAUUGAUAAGUUAGAGGUGAAAUGUCCGAGCUUAACUCGGGAACUGCCUCGAAAACUGUUGAUCUAGAGAGUAGAUGCGGUAGGCGGAAUGUAUGGUGUAGCGGUGAAAUGCUUAGAUAUCAUACAGAACACCGAUUGCGAAGGCAGCUUACCAAUCUAUAUCUGACGUUGAGGCACGAAAGCGUGGGGAGCAAACAGGAUUAGAUACCCUGGUAGUC
rnacentral:rRNA from 1 species